AUGGGCUCGAUAAAGGAUGGAAAUGGUAUGGUCCUACAAGAAGCAGAAGAUAUUAAGAAGAGGUGCCAAGAAUACACAGAAGAACUGUACAAAAAAGAUCUUCAUGACCCAGAUAAUCAUGAUGAUGUGAUCACUAAUAUAGAGCCAGACAUCUUGGAAUGUGAAGUCAAGUGGACCUUAGAAAGCAUCACUACGAACAAAGCUAGUGGAGGUGAUGGAAUUCCAGUUGAGCUGUUUCAAAUCCUGAAAGAUGAUGCUGUGAAAGUGCUGCACUCAAUAUGCCAGCAAAUUUGGAAGACUCAGCAGUGGCCACAGGACUGGAAAAGGUCAGUUUUCAUUCCAAUUCCAAAGAAAGGAAAUGCAAAAGAAUGCUCAAACUACCACAUAAUCGCACUCAUCUCACAUGCUAGUAAAGUAAUGCUCAAAAUUCUCCAAGCCAGGCUUCAGCAACAGGUGAACCAUGAACUCUCUGAUGUUCAAGCUGGUUUUAGAAAAGGCAGAGGAACCAGAGAUCAAAUUGCCAACAUCCGCUGGAUCAUCAAAAAAGCAAGAGAGUUCCAGAAAAACAUCUAUUUCUGCUUUAUUGACUAUGCCAAAGCCUUUGACUGUGUGGACCACAAUAAACUGUGGAAAAUUCUGAAGGGGAUGGGAAUACCAGACCACCUGACCUGCCUCUUGAGAAACCUGUAUGCAGGUCAGGAAGCAGCAGUUAGAACUGGACAUGGAACAACUGACUGGUUCCAAAUAGGAAAAGGAGUACGUCAAGGCUGUAUAUUGUCACCCUGCUUAUUUAACUUAUACGCAGAGUACAUCAUGAGAAACGCUGGACUGGAAGAAGCACAACCUGGAAUCAAGAUUGCCGGGAGAAAUAUCAAUAACCUCAGAUAUGCAGAUGACACCACCCUGAUGGCAGAAAGUGAAGAGGAGCUAAAAAGCCUCUUGAUGAAAGUAAAAGAGGAGAGUGAAAAAGUUGGCUUAAAGCUCAACAUUCAGAAAACGAAGAUCAUGGCAUCUGGUCCCAUCACUUCAUGGGAAAUACAUGGGGAAACAGUGGAAACAGUGUCAGGCUUUCUUUUUUUGGGCUUCAAUAUCACUGCAGAUGGUGAUUGCAGCCAUGAAAUUAAAAGAUGCUUACUCCUUGGAAGAAAAGUUAUGACCAACCUAGAUAGUGUAUUCAAAAGCAGAGAUAUUACUUUGCUGACUAAGGUCCAUCUAGUCAAGGCUAUGGUUUUUCCUGUGGUCAUGUAUGGAUGUGAGAGUAGGACUGUGAAGAAGGCUGAGUGCCGAAGAAUUGAUGCUUUUGAACUGUGGUGCUGGAGAAGACUCUUGAGAGUCCCUUGGACUGCAAGGAGAUCCAACCAGUCCAUUCUGAAGGAGAUCAGCCCUGGGAUUUCUUUGGAAGGAAUGAUGCUAAAGCUGAAACUCCAGUACUUUGGCCACCUCAUGUGA
rnacentral:lncRNA from 1 species